UAGGCAUUUAUUCUUUCUCUCUUUCCCUUCUUUUUUUUCUCUCCACCUCGGUUUCUACGCAUUUAAUUAUGAUCAUUCUCCCACUACAGUUAGAGAUAGUUGUGUUCCUGGCUUACAGGAGUCUGCAGCAAUUUGCAUCCAUGAUUUGCUCUCAUGUGUCCCAGCACUUUCCCUUUUUCUUCAUGUUGAAUCACAAUCUAAGACAAAAUUCUUUGUUCCUGAAAUUUCAUAAUCCUCCAACGUCUCUCCACAUAUUACGUUGUCCUGUUGCUUGCUGAUAUUCUGAGGAAAGUUUGUUGUUGCUGAAAUUUUGUCUGUUGCUUCUGGGAUUUUACAGGCUCCAACGUCUCUCUAUAAACUACGUGCUGUUGUCGGUUGCUGAGCUGAGCAGGAUUUGUUGCUCCUGGGAUUUCGUUAGAAUCCAACAUCUUGCCAUAAAUAAUGCUGUCUUGUUUGCUGGGCUGGAUGCUGGACUCAUGGUUUAGUGAAGAGGUCUGCGAUUUGAUCAGUGAUGGAGAUGUGUUUGCAGUGUAUGUGUUUGCUGUGAUGAUCACCAAGCAAAUUUAAAACAGUUUGGACCAAGAUUCUUUGGGAAAAAAUGAUUAAGUCAUCUGUUCGAAGGAGGAAGAAAAGAAAAAAAAUCUUAUAUUCAAACAUUUUCUUUCUGGUGCCAAGGAGUUGGGGGGUUAGGCCAAUAAGGUGGAACGUUGUCUGGUGCCUCAUCUAUCCUUCUGUGCCACUCUCGUCUGAUUCAGGGUCCAAGAGCAAAUCAAGCAAUCAGAGAAGGAGCAACACAACAAAAACAAUGCAGCUUUCAAGAAGCAUGGUGGAGGUCAUUCCUCUUUAAAGUAACAGUGCUUUUACAUGGCGAGUGACAUUCUUUC